UCCUUUCCCCUUCUACAGUGCACAUAGGCGAGAGGGAGGCGACCGCCCACAGCGGGAGAGUGCUUCCUCGCCGGCGGGUUAGCUCCGUCUUGGGGGGCUGUCAUGGCACUCUGAGGAGGUGCAGACCAUGGCUCAACGCCGGUGGGUGGGGAUUAGGUCUUAUGCAGUUUGGGUUUCAUGGCGAGGACGGCGAGGAGGCAGCAUCGUCCUGGUGUAGGAAUAAGGUCUCCCUGCUCCGUUCCCGCUGCUGAUGUGCUCGGAGGAGCGCCGACGAGGAGUAUGUGGAGCUUUUGGCGCGGUGGGCGUCCGGCGCUUCGGCCUUGUGCGGUGGUGUCUGCAUGCCGCGCGGCGAGGAGCCGAAGAUGGUGGCUGUGUCUGUGGUCGACGGCGGCUUGAAGGUUAGGGAUCUGGCCACCUCUUGUGAGGUGGAGCACCGACGAUCCCAGAUACGGGGCGGAUGGAAGUGGACCGCCGACGACCUCAGAUCCGGGCGACUUGAAGGUGAGCGGGAUGACGGCAACGAUGCUGCAGACGACGGCCCAGUAGAAGAGAAGCGCCUCCAACAUCCCGAUGUCCUUCGACACUGCUCGAUUCCAGGUCGUCGAGGGCAAUAUAUGAGAUUGACAUUGACACCGCAUUUGAGGAGAAACCAUGGAAAUACCACGGCGCUAACAUUUCAGAGUUCUUUAACUUUGGGAUUGAUGAAGAGAAAUGGAAAGAAUAUUGCAAGCAAAUUGUCACUACUUGUUUAUAAUAUUUGGUAGCAAUGGCUUUUUUUUCGGCUUCUGUUUUGCCCUUUUGUAAGCUUUGGGUAACCUUUGUCUUACCAAGAUCAACUAAAAGUGGAGUCCACAAUGCAAUCAAGAAUAUGGGUUUACGAGAAUGGGCGCUUAGAACAGGACUACGAUCCAGAUCUGCCACCAGAGCUAGCUGCUGCUGCGACUGGCCAUCACCAUGUUUGGGCACACAGAUUUUAGGGCCCAAGAAGAGUUGUUGCAAGCAUCGGACUAGCAGCGGUACAAAUCUCUCUCACCAAUUAUGUACAGCUUUGGGUGAGCUACGUUGCAUGAUUUGUUUGUUAGUAUAUUCAUGUCGAUGAUGUGCGCAAGGGAAAUCAACUCUUGACUACCUGUAAGAUACAUAAUAGUUCAAGUCAGAGGA